GAGUUUGAUCGUGGCUCAGAUUGAACGCUGGCGGCAGGCCUAACACAUGCAAGUCGAGCGGUAGAGAGAAGCUUGCUUCUCUUGAGAGCGGCGGACGGGUGAGUAAUGCCUAGGAAUCUGCCUGGUAGUGGGGGGAUAACGCUCGGAAACGGACGCUAAUACCGCAUACGUCCUACGGGAGAAAGCAGGGGACCUUCGGGCCUUGCGCUAUCAGAUGAGCCUAGGUCGGAUUAGCUAGUUGGUGAGGUAAUGGCUCACCAAGGCGACGAUCCGUAACUGGUCUGAGAGGAUGAUCAGUCACACUGGAACUGAGACACGGUCCAGACUCCUACGGGAGGCAGCAGUGGGGAAUAUUGGACAAUGGGCGAAAGCCUGAUCCAGCCAUGCCGCGUGUGUGAAGAAGGUCUUCGGAUUGUAAGCACUUUAAGUUGGGAGGAAGGGCAGUAAUUAAUACUUUGCUGUUUUGACGUUACCGACAGAAUAAGCACCGGCUAACUCUGUGCCAGCACG
rnacentral:rRNA from 1 species